GAUGAAGAACGCAGCGAAAUGCGAUAAGUAAUGCGAAUUGCAGAAUUCAGUGAGUCAUCGAAUCUUUGAACGCACAUUGCGCCCCCUGGUAUUCCGGGGGGCAUGCCUGUCCGAGCGUCAUUGCUGCCCUCAAGCACGGCUUGUGUGUUGGGCCUCCGUCCUCCUCCCGGGGGACGGGCCCGAAAGGCAGCGGCGGCACCGCGUCCGGUCCUCGAGCGUAUGGGGCUUCGUCACCCGCUCUUGUAGGCCCGGCCGGCGCUUGCCGACACAUCAAUCUUUUUUCCAGGUUGACCUCGGAUCAGGUAGGGAUACCCGCUGAACUUAAGCAUAUCAAUAAGCGGAGGG
rnacentral:misc_RNA from 1 species